AAAACGCACAAAAUCAAUUAGCUGGAAGGAAGACUGGCAAACAAGCACAAGCUUCUUGUUAAUAUAUGAAAUCGAAAACUAUUGGGUACUCUAAAGGCAAUCCAGAAGUCAAAAAGGCUGUCGUUAAUGCGGUUCAUAUGCACAGUUAAUGAACGUCUCUCUCUUUUAUGUUAAAAUCAAAAGGGUCACCUCAUCACUGACGAUUUGCUUUAUGAGAAAGAAAUUCCGUCUCCUCUCCGUAAAUAAGUCACAUUAACUCAGCUGCAAAUCCCGCGGCCUUUAAAGUCAUCCCGUGAAGACGGAGCUCCUGAGCGCGGCCUCUCAAUAAACGCCAAGCGCAUACUCAGAAUACCCGGCUCUCCCUGCCUCAGCCGCGUCUCUUACGGGUAACAGACCAGUAGGCGCCGCUGCACAUGCUGACGGCUCCCGGCUGAACUCAUCUGCAAUUUCUAGAAAUCAAACGUUUACCCGAAAUACCUGCACCCGCCAGCGCAACGGGUCGCAGACUUGGCCUUCCACGCCCCCGGCCUUCCACAGCUGCACGCCCACGACAUCACAUGGUAUUAAAAAUAGAAAGAGAAGAGCAGUUGUACAGUUUUUCGAAAAGGAGCUGAAAACGUUUACGGAAUAAUGGCACAACAAAAUCGGGUAUGGACUCACAGAAUAAAAAGCUCGCCACAUUUCUCAAUUUAUGGAGAGAAUAUAAAACCAACACUGAUUAAAUAUCACAAUAUGUACAAGUGCCCACUUUGCAAAAAGAAGGGAGACUAUAGCAUCAUGCAAUCUCACCUUCAGAGCCAUGAAGACCAUGUUGUAAAUUAUGCAGGUUUUACUAUCUACAGAUGCAACACAGGGUGUGUCACAAGUGGCCAUUUCCAUUGUUGUUUGUGUUUAAAAGUCAUUGUCAAAAGACAAAGGUUUUUAACUCACUUACAAAAAUGUCAAAAAUUGGUCACACCCAUGCCCACCAGAGAGACUGCUCCCGCUGUGCCCACCAGAGAGACUGCUCCCGCUGUGCCCACCAGAGAGACUAUCCCCAGUACUUCUCACAAAGAGACUGUGCCCUCCAUUGCCACAAUCAAUGUCAGUUCAGCAGCGCCUGUCACUAGUUUUAGAGGGUCACAAAUUCUACAAUAUGCAAAAGAGAAGAAGAUAUUUUGUUCUUUUUGUAAUUUGAGGUUGUACAAAAAAAAUCUCAAGUUACAUAUGAAAAGACAACAUUCCUCAACAAACAUUGAAAUAAAUGAAUAUAACAGGAUUCUUUCGGUUUGUAUUGAUUCUAGAAGGGGCAUUUUUGCAGUGGUAAACACUUCCACUGGACCUAGAUACCCCAUUCAUGUUGAAAAGUGCACAUGGGGAGCUAAACAUGUUGUGAUCUGCGAGUUAGAGAAAUGCAAACGAGCAUCAGAAUUUUCUCAAAGGAGUGGAUUCAUGGGAUUUGAAUGCUUCCAUCUGAGGUCUUUGGCCUUCUCUCCAGUUACUGCUAUGUCAGACAUUACACUUCAGGAAGAAGUAUUAACUAGAAUGAUACAAGCAAAAUGGUUUGGUAAAGAGACAAUGAAAACUUGUUUACAUCGUAAACAGAUGGCAGAAACACAGCAGACGCCAUUAAGUAAAGAGAUUUCUCUUGUAGAAGAAAAAUCACAAGUAUAUCUAUCAGUGUUUGAACCACGUAUAUCAUUCAGGUCUCGUUUGGGGAGGGUGAUGGUCCAUUAUAACAAGAAAUUUAAUAUCUGACACUGUGCCUCGUGCAAGCCUGUAUCUUCAUGUAUACACAAGGCUAUAUUUAAAUGGCAUUUAUUUCAAACACGCCCUGAACACUUUAAAGAAGUUAAGACAACAGGAAAUGAUGUUUUUGGCUCUGCCACCAUUUACAGUGGCUCCUAUGAUUCUGAACAACAGUCAUGUGAUGUUUUCUGUCCUUCUAGAGGCCAUUUACUUGUGAGACUUGUGCAGUACAUUCAGAGGAAUAAAACAAUCCCAGAUGUUUUGCCUUGUGAAGUUUGUGCCACACCAAUAAUAGGUGACUUCCCAAUGCACUUGAUUCCAUAUGAGACAUUUUGUGCCCAGUGCCCUGAUGUUUCCACAUAUUACAGACGACGUGGACUUUGUGACAGUUUCUUCCGUUAUCAAGAAUGGAAAGAUGGCUUACAUAAUUUUGAUGACCAUAUCAUUAUGAGCAUCCAUCCGUGUCUUUUUUUGCGUAAUUCAAUUCAGAGUCACACAGCUGUUGAGAGGGUCAUAAGCAGCCUUGAAAAAACUAAUGAAGUGCCCUACCCAAGUCAUAAUGCCAUAUUGCAUGCAUACCUACAUUUUGAGGCACUGAUGUGCCAUGAUUAUAAUUUCUCUUGUGCGCACUGUGGGCAUCAUCCCCCUAUUGUUAUCAUGGACUUACACAAAAAGGGUGUCUUUAAAAUGGCUGCAAGUGACGUGAAAGAACCCCCACCAGAUUUUAAAGGGGAGGUGGACAUGGAAGACUAUUGGAAGUCCGUGGAAAGAGAAAUUCUUGGUAGAGGCUUUGUGAAAUGCAACCGUGAUAGUCCUUUUGUAAUUUUGCCAAGUUACCAUCAGUGGGCACCCUGGAUAGGACCCCAAACCAGAGCAAUUCACAUUGUUGCUAACACAGAGUAUGCUAAAGUACAUGUGUCAAAUAAGUCCCAAGAUGAAAGUGACAUUGAUAUUACAGAGGAGCGUCUCCCAAAUGAAGUCAUGAAUUCAAAGGUUAACCCCAUCCGAAAGCUUUGUAAACAAUGCAAGUUUGACUCUAAGGGCUCAAAAAUGGAUCUUGUCCUGCGCUUAAGGGCAAAAAUGCAAACUCGAAGCACAUAUGACAAGGUGUUUCAGAAGGUUUGGGGUGCAUCAGGCGAGUGGAGAUCAGGUUUGUAAUGGAUACCAAACUGGCACAGACUGAGAGACUUUUGGAAGUGGGAGGAGUCUGGUUGACAAGAUCAGAUUUUAAGACAAUUGGACCAGAAUCUUGAAUGGAAUCCACUAUUGGUAAUGCAUGCUUACACUUGGUGCAACAAAUUUCGAGUCUAAAGGGGAAAGACAUUUACAUGGGAGAUUUGUAUGUCACUGCCACUUGGGGGCCUCCAAGAAAUCUUGAUCCAUUGCAAAGUUUACCUGUAAGAAGUUAUCAUUUCAUAUGUAAUGAGGCCAUCAUUUUUGCAAUAUUCAAAGUACUAAUUGUAUGAAUUUACUUUCUGUUUACUCAUAUAAUAACAUAUUAAUAUUAUUUGAUUAUAGUAGUUUUAAUAUUUACUAAUAUACUCAUGAAGAAAACUUUUAGUGUUAAUGUAAAAAUGCCUUACGCAUGUUUACUUAUUUUUUCCCUGCAGGAGAAUUGGCCAACAUUCUCAAAUUCUAUUGUCUCCUGGACAAUAGAAAUCACGAUCAGGAUUUGACUUUGUAAAUGUCGUAAUUAACCUUUUUUUAUCUUUGAUACCUAAAGACAUUUUAGAUCAGCAUUUUUUUUUUUUUGCUUUGAUUCAUUUCUUGCUCCUUUGCUCAUUAGGCCUUCCAAGUCAGAUGAAUAGCAAUGACUGUGGAAUUUUCAUGUUGAUGGUAUGACCAGUUCAUAUUUUAACUCUAUUUCUGUGUAUGUCUGUAUAUAAUGUUGUGUCCAGGUUUCUUUUUGUGGUUUCUCUGUAGAAUGCGCUGCACUGUAUAUCAUCCUUGAGGCCCCCUUUGACUUUAAUGAGUGUCUCAACUCAUCUUUCAUUGCAGUAUUUGUGGAGGGAGGAUUGUAUCUGGUUGUGGGUACCCGUUUUUGAAACCUUCGCCAAUUUGUGUUGAGUUACGUUAAUUUUAUUUAUAUAAUUUCUUGUUUGUUAGUUUGUUUUACUUUAAGCAUACUGUCCCUAGUGGUUUGGAUGUUCCAGAAACACCUACCUUUCAAAAUCCAGUUAAUUUAAAUGCAUGUUUGUAAUGGUUUGCAUAAAUAUUUUUAUAACAUAAAACUUCGUUUUAAUAACUUGAUUACGUUUGAUCCUCUUUAGAAUGACAUGCCAGCUUUGAGGACGUGGUGGUGUAUAAUGUUGCCUGAGAACUCAAGCCCCAAGGGGAAAUACUCACAUUGGACUGAGUUAGCAAAUGUCCUUCUAAAUGAUGACCAAGAACAGAAGAAAAAACGAGAAGGUCUAGACUAUACGGAGCCAUUAAUGAAUAAACAGAAGAUGGAAGAAGCAUCAGCCUCUCUUCUCCAACAUCUAGCACAGGGCACCAAUGAGCAGCAUCUUCUGGAGGCAGAGAAGUGGUGUACUGAGAAUAAUUCUGUCUUCAAAGGGCAAGUCUCACUCCCUUCAUUACUCUCAAUGGAGAAGGACGACAUAGAGGAGACCCUUCAAAAAUUUGAUUUGUUAACUGAAUUUCCAGAAGAAGAGGAGAGGGAAUACGUCCUUGAACCAUUUACCUUCCUUGUUUCAGAGAUGGAAGAUAUGCAUCUGUUUUUAGAGAAUAUGAGAGGAAAAAGAAAAAAGACUGCGUUUUGUAAGAAAAUGUAACAUAAGCAUACAUGUCCCUCAUUGUUCUAUUACCUAUAAUUCUAGUUCUUUUUUUAUAUUUUGUUUAACUUUUUGCUAAUAAAUGUUGCAAACCA